AUUGAACGCUGGCGGCAGGCUUAACACAUGCAAGUCGAGCGGGGUGAUGGUGCUUGCACUAUCACUUAGCGGCGGACGGGUGAGUAAUGCUUAGGAAUCUGCCUAUUAGUGGGGGACAACAUUUCGAAAGGAAUGCUAAUACCGCAUACGUCCUACGGGAGAAAGCAGGGGAUCUUCGGACCCUGCGCUAAUAGAUGAGCGUAAGUCGGAGUAGCUAGUUGGUGGGGUAAAGGCCUACCAAGGCGACGAUCUGUAGCGGGUCGGAGAGGAUGAUCCGCCACACUGGGACUGAGACACGGCCCAGACUCCUACGGGAGGCAGCAGUGGGGAAUAUUGGACAAUGGGCGGAAGCCUGAUCCAGCCAUGCCGCGUGUGUGAAGAAGGCCUUAUGGUUGUAAAGCACUUUAAGCGAGGAGGAGGCUACUUUAGUUAAUACCUAGAGAUAGUGGACGUUACUCGCAGAAUAAGCACCGGCUAACUACGUGCCAGCCGCCGCCGUAAAAC
rnacentral:rRNA from 1 species